GUCUGUGUGCGCCGCUCCUCAAGGACGGGCUUUUGGGGAGGGGAAGCAGCAGCAGCCCCGCUGCUCGGAGCAGCGAACCCAGACGUCCCGUCGCCUGCCCGGUGCCGCUGCCGCAAGGGUCACGGAGGGGACCGUCCCGCGGGGACUGUGCCGACGGCUCGGGGCCUGUGUCUCUCCGGGGAAAGGACUUUCCAGAGAAACAAAUCGAGAAAAAAUAACUGGUUUGUCUUCCUUCCACCCAGCGUCAGUUUUUGGUGGCCGUGCGUAGGGACUGCAGCGCGGCGUAAAGUGCUGUGUAGGAUGGAGGCUGCUCUGGUUGCUGGUGCUCCCGCUGACAGCUAGCUGCUGGAAAUGUCACAGGAUUAAUUUCAGAAUCCUCUGAGGUGCCUGUUGGCUUUGUCCAGAAUCAUUACUCAUUCUCUGCUACGUACACAAGCCUAUUAAAACACGAACUCUAGCCAGAGCUACCCGAUGGUGUGGCCGCGGACGCUGAGCCCUCUGCCCGCCCAGCCUCGCUCACCUUCCUUCCGCUGGUACCUCUGCCCACAUUCUCCAUCUUCGUGACAGUUUGUCUCAUAAAUGCAUUCAGGCAUCAUCAGCACAGCUCCUCACUACUGCUCCGAUACCAGAAAACAGGCUCUGCUUCUCAUUCAUGAGCUGAUCCUUUGCACGUCGCUGCUUCUUUCCAAAGCUGGCCUCCUGUUUCAGAAGUCUACAUAUUCACAUAUUCAGCUGUGUCAGGCACUUCUGUAAACUUCUUCACUGAGCUAUGAAACGACUCCUGCUUCAGUUCACAAAGGAUGGAUGAAGAAUGUAAUGACAAAAUACAGCUGGUGAGUUAGGGGCAUCCAGAAACCUCUAGGUUAAGUGAUAAGAAGCAGCACAAAUUCAAAAGGAACAAACUGAUCACCUGCUGCCUCCUCAAGCCUUCCAACCAGUGUCACUCCCUGAAUACUACCUGCUUCCUGUGGAAGUACCUACCCGUUGUUCCCCUAUGGAGGGGAAAACAGCUAUUGAACAUUUCCCUUUGAAGAAGAAAAGAUCAUUUCACAUCUAUUCUGUGAUGAGCUACAGCAAGAGUUAUUGCCACCAGCCUGGAUACAUUAAUACUGCAGCUAAUCUACGUAUCUUUCAAUGUUUUAUAGCUUCUUAACUCUGACACUUAGGACAGCAUAUUAAUAAACUCACUAAAAAAGCCUAUUGGAAAUCUUUCACAUUCUUAUCUUGAUUUGUGAUGUAUU